AUUGAACGCUGGCGGCAGGCCUAACACAUGCAAGUCGAGCGAGCGGCGGACGGGUGAGUAAUGUCUGGGAAACUGCCUGAUGGAGGGGGAUAACAACUGGAAACGGUAGCUAAUACCGCAUACCAUCAGAUGUGCCCAGAUGGGAGUAGCUGGUAGGUGGGGUAACGGCUCACCUAGGCGACGAUCCCUAGCUGGUCUGAGAGGAAGAACAGCCACACUGGAACUGAGACACGGUCCAGACUCCUGCGGGAGGCAGCAGUGGGUAAUAUUGCACAAUGGGCGCAAGCCUGAUGCAGCCAUGCCGCGGGUGUGAAGAAGGCCUUCGGGUUGUAAAGCACUUUCAGCGGGGAGGCGUUACCCGCAGAAGAAGCACCGGCUAACUCCGUGCCAGCCGCCGCGGUAAUAC
rnacentral:rRNA from 1 species